UACGAAGGGAGCUAGCGUUGUUCGGAAUCACUGGGCGUAAAGCGCACGUAGGCGGAUGUGUCAGUCAGGGGUGAAAUCCCGGAGCUCAACUUCGGAACUGCCUUUGAUACAGCACAUCUGGAGUCCGGAAGAGGUGGGUGGAAUUCCUAGUGUAGAGGUGAAAUUCGUAGAUAUUAGGAAGAACACCGGUGGCGAAGGCGGCCCAACUGGUCCGGUACUGACGCUGAGGUGCGAAAGCGUGGGGAGCAAACAGGA
rnacentral:rRNA from 1 species